rnacentral:rRNA from 1 species
CCUACGGGAGGCAGCAGUGGGGAAUAUUGCGCAAUGGACGAAAGUCUGACGCAGCGACGCCGCGUGAGGGAUGAAGGUUUUCGGAUCGUAAACCUCUGUCAGGAGGGAAGAAAGCGCAUGGCGCCAAUCAGCCAUGCGUUGACGGUACCUCCAAAGGAAGCGCCGGCUACUACGUGCCAGCAGCCGCGGUCAUAAGGAGGGCGCGUGCGUUAAUCGGACUUACUGGGGGGAAAGGGCGCGUAGGCUGUUUAGUAAGGUGGGGGUGAAAACCCAGGGCUCAACCGUGGAACAGGCCGUGAUACUGCGAAACUUGAAGCCGGGAGAGGGUGGCGGAAUUCCAGGUGUAGGAGUGAAAUCCGUAGAUAUCUGGAGGAACAUCAGUGGCGAAGGCGGCCACCUGGACCGGUAUUGACGCUGAGGCGCGAAAGCGUGGGGAGCAAACAGGAUUAGAUACCCUAGUAGUC